rnacentral:rRNA from 1 species
UACAGAGGUCUCAAGCGUUGUUCGGAUUCAUUGGGCGUAAAGGGUGUGUAGGUGGCGCGCUAAGUCGGGUGUGAAAUCCCUCGGCUUAACCGGGGAACUGCGUCUGAUACUGGAUGGCUUGAGGUUGGGAGAGGGAUGCGGAAUUCCAGGUGUAGCGGUGAAAUGCGUAGAUAUCUGGAGGAACACCGGUGGCGAAGGCGGCAUCCUGGACCAAUUCUGACGCUGAGGAGCGAAAGCCAGGGGAGCAAACGGG